GAUUCGUUGCCUUGAUUUGAUGUUGUGAAUUGAAUGAUUGAAGGGAGAUGAUCGUAAGUGGUCUUCCUGAUGUGAAAUCGACUAAGUCGAUUAGAUCGAUGCUUCGAUCUGUGAUGUGCUUGCUUGUGUGCCUAUUUAAUCUGUACUAAUAUGCAGGUGGAAUCUGAGGCUAAGGUAAGUCUUCUAAUUCAUGUUGUGCAUAGGCAGCCCUAAGAUGUAUUAGUUUACUAAUCGGGUCUUAGGGAGUAGAACUUGCUGAGACGUGGUCUCAGUGGUUAUUGAAUAACCAUUUCAGGACCUGAAUGAGGAGCCUAAGGAGCAUGAAUCUGAUGAGGAGAUCCCUGUUGAGGAACCCAAAGAGGAGUACGUGGAGGAGGACCCCGAGUAUGACAUCGAGUACGACCCGGAUGAGGACUGAGAUCCCGUCCAGUCUUGUCAGACCUUGUUUGCAUGUAAAAAGUUGUAGUUGUGAAUUUUCAGUAAGAAAAAUGUAUGGCCUGCUUUUCUAUCCCAUUGCUUUAUUGUCUGGGGAAUUAUAACUGCUUCCGCAUGUGCAUAUAUAAAUAAAAGGGUCGGUGAUACAUAGUCCUGGGAUAUCGCAUUUUUAAAUCGACCAAAAGUAAAGGAUGUGUGCGUGCCUGAGGGUCGGGGCGUGACAUCCCCCUUUUGUGGUAUCAGAGCAAUGGUUAGAUAUUGGAGUGAUAAGGUGCGAUGACCUAUGGGAUAGUAAUUGGAAAGGCCUUUAAAUUCAUGACUGGUGCAUGUGUUUGAUAGUUGAUUGGUAGAAUUGUUUGUCAUGUGUGAAUUACUUGCUUUUAAUUAUUGUGGAUUCGGAAGGCCGAGUGUUGACUCUGGCCAGCUCGAGCGUAAGAGUGCCAUCGCAGGUUGGUACUGGUGUAUCAGCGUUGAUUGAUCCUAAGCCUGAUAAGAUUGAUUUGAUGCAAGUGUUUCUUGGGAUCUGGAUGAGCCAGUAAGAUCAUAAUCAAGUAGUUGUUGUUGCUACCUUUGUUGAGGUCCAACCUAGAAGGAUAGUCAGGGAACAGAUUUUGAUAUUUGAAUCAAGAUUCAGUGCAAGCAGAUUGGGAAUUCGGUCAGGGGAAAAGACUGAUGUUAAGGGAAGAAUAUUCUAUUCCGCCCAAUAGGAGGGGUGGCAUAGGCAGGUCAGCCUUCAGAUUAAUGGAACAUGUUGUUCUAUGGAAGAUGGUAUGAAUUAGUCUAGUGUAUUUUGAGGACAGGAAAUUAUGGUAAGCGUCGCCAGUACGGAUAAUGAUUUAUGGGUUGUCCGCAUAAGUAGAUGGAAUAUCUACAAUGGUUACUGCUGUCACCGUUGAUAGGACAGUUCAGGAGAAGUGCGCCAUAGAACGCAUUGUUAAAUUUUUGGGAUAGAUCUCUGGUACAAAGAAUAGUGCAUGCUGGCACUUUACAAGAGGUAAAAGACUCACCAUAUAGGUGUCGAAAUUGUGGAAGAAAACCUGGAUGAAUUCAGUAUCCAGGUAUGGUAAGAAGAUCAGAAAUGGAACCGACCUGGCACUAGACAGAGGAAGAAUGUUUUGGGGAAAAUUCUAUCAGAGUAUCGUAGCAGAGUUUUGAUGAAGUUUGGGGAACUUCAGUUUAUUGAAAUAAGUGGAAGAAAGGGGAAUCACCAGUUAUUGUUGUUUGAAUUGAUAGAACCGAAGGUACGGAUGUGAAGAUUGAUGAAUGAGGAAUUCAUACAUAUUAGUGCAUCGCUUUAAGGAACGUCAGUUUUGUGGAAAAAGAAAUGAAGAUGGUUCAUUGCAAUCAUGCAUCAACCAUUGUCAACUUAAUUGGGUGACUUGUUAUAAAGAGUGUUGAUGUCUUCAAGGAUCGACUUGAGGACAGGUUAUCUUCAGUUGAGAACUAGGAAAGAAGUUAUACUGAAGGCAACACUUCGCACUCGAUUUAGCCCUCGUGAGAAUAAUGUAAAGCCAUUUGAUUUGACGAACGCUCUAGCCAUUGUCAUAGACUUGACAAGCUGAGUAUUCAAAGAAUAUCUAGAUCAAUGGUGAUCGUGUGGUGUAGUGACAUUCUAGGGUAUUCAUUAAGUGAUGAGGAUCACGAGAGCCCUUAAGAAUGGUCAUGUGAUUACAGGUUAAGGAAUCUUCAUGGACCCAUCCAAGAUUGAAUCAGUUGUUUAUGGACCGAGACCGACAUCAAUGUCAGAGAUCAGAAGCUGUGGAGAUUGGACAGAUUACUACAUAAGGUUUGUGAAAGAAUUUUUAGCAUCAGUACCAUCGUAGGCUUGAUCUCUUAAGAAAGAAGAGAUUCAUCAGCAUAGACAAGUACGAGGAUAGUUUCCAAAGGUUAAAUAAGAACUGACUAUCGUACUUGUGCUAAACUUUUCAUUUGGCUCUGGAAAGCACGGAAUCUUUAGUGAUGUGUCUUGCGGAGAACUGGGUAUGCAUUGAUACAACAUGAGAAGAUUGUUGUAUCACCGUUCCGCCAGUUGAGACCCAAUCAGUGGAAUACGAAGCGGUGUCAUGAACCAGAAUUUUGGUAGAACUAUAAUAGUGAUAUCAGAUAUCACCUUGGAGGAAUGAAAUGAGUCAUUAAUGUGUUGAGCCAAGAGUCUUCAAUUGUGCAUAGACUGGCUAAAGCGUAGACUUUACUUGAAAAGACUUCGAAGCUUUGUUUUCAAAUUUGAGGUAGGCUACCUUUUGAAUUUAUAGCCGCCCUCAAGAUUGAACCAAAUGUUCAAGUUAGAAUCAGCGCCUAAUUGGCAGACAAAGAUGUUCAGAAGAUCUUAUAAGAGGAUACUGGUAAGAAAGAAUCUGACUUUAAGAUUUAUGAGAAUGGAAAGUUCAGGUUCCAUGAGUGAUUGAAUACACUUGACAGUGUAGCACUCGGGGAAAAGAUCUUGUUGGAAGUUCACUAUAGUAGUGCAGUUUUGACCAGAUGGUGUAAGUAAAUCAGAAUCGGCAUCAGCUAGAUUAGUAAGCUAAUAUGAAGAUAGAUAUUACUGAGCAGGUUGCAAGUGUCAGAAGUGUCAGCAAGUGGAAGCUCGGUAAUGUGAAUCAGGAGAAUUUUUACCAUCACUUGAGAGUCCCAAGUGGGAAUGGAAAUAUAUCACAAUGGAACAUUGUGAUGGGCUUAUUAAGGAUUCAGGGGAUUACUGAUACCAUUUGAGAAUAGUGGUUGAUUGGUAGAUGGAGUUGGUCCAUUUUGGUACAGUGCGAAUAGAUCUUGUUUUGAGUGUGUAACAUCCAGAUUUCGGGCUCUGAUUUCGAUUAGAUAAAUUGGGCAUUUCAUCAACGCGAUUACAGUGUUUUUCUCUGAGUUGGCCACUUACGAGAUAACUAGACUAGCUGGGUGAGUUAUUAAGGACCUUAAGGCAAAUAGACUUGAGAAUUCGACCAAUGAUCGACUUCUCGACCGUGCUCAUCUUUAGAAAUCAUUACGGCACAGUAUAAAACCCGAUUUGAAAUCAAAGAUAGAUCGGUUCGACUGAGAUGAAUGACUGAUGGUGGGUGACUCCACUAAAUUGGAAAAUUCUCAUUGACCGGCACUAAUUUGAUGUUUCUAUCGUUUUGGCGCCCUGUGUCCGUAUUUGAAUCCUUGAGAUUUUCACGACAAUCGAGAGUCACCAAUGGGUCAAGUGGGUUUAUUGUGGCUCGAAGAAAAUCGACCACGGGUCAUCUGUCCUAAAAAGCUCUGAACACUACCCAGUAGCCUAGGUCACACUAAAAACGUGUCGGAGUGAAAUUAACCGCCAAUCUAAGUUCGAUUUCAGAAAUUAAAGAUUCUAUCUUAUCAGAGUGGGUAUACCGAAGUGUGUGUGCAUCAGAUAAUUCAUCGGCAUGGAGUGCCGGGGAUGAAUUAUAUUUCGAAUCUAGAUCAGAGAUUAUAAAUUUGGCAAAGUUUCAGAGGGUUCUUUCUUAAGAUGUGUAUAGCAGAUGGUACAAAAUUUCAGUGGUGAAAAGAAAGUGAAGAAAGAUUUCAGGACAAAGUCAGUUCAGUAAUCAAUGUUUGCAGUUGUCAAAUCAGUGUUAGACUAAAGACUGCUCAGAACUGUUAGAAAUUUUGAAUCGUUGAGGUUCGAAGGGUUAUUAAGGAGUCGAGAAAAAGAGAUCAGAUGUGGAUGAUAGGCUGUCUUAUGUGAGAAGUUCAGUUCAGUUGUUGGUUUAGAAGGAGCAGAGUUUGUGUACCAAGAUGAUCUCCUUAGUCAAAAUGGUCGGACAACACCACGAGACCGAAGGAUUAGCAUGGAGUAAUGAGACUCAAUGAAAUGACAAUACCCCCCACCUUUUGUAUAAGGAUUGGUAAAAGUUUAAAUUUCGAGGACGAAAUUUUUAUAAGAGGGGAAGAGUUGUAACAUCUAGAUUUUCGGGUUCUAAAUUCGACUGGAUAAAUAGGGCCGUUUUAAUCGGAAUUUUGUAGAAGACCGUUUUUAUUUUGAAAUCAGGAUGCAAUAUGGGUUAUUGGAUGAGGAGAAUAUUCAAUUGAAGCAUUGAGGCAUCACUUGGAUUUAUUGAGGCCUUACAAGUUAAAUUGAGAAGAAAUGAGUGAUCAAUUGGAGGAGGUAUCAAGCAAUUUCGUGUGCCCCCAUCCCACUAGCCAUUUUGGACCAAUUCACAUGUUCAAGAAGGAGCUUGGGUGGUUCAAUGGCAGCCAAGGAAUAAAUACUUGGCCUAGAGUGAGUAUGGGAGAUUUUUGUGGAAAGAUCAAGCUAAGGGGGGCCCUCCACCUUGGCUUUCCUUGCACGUUUCUUAGCCAACUCCCUCCUUCGCACAUAUGCUUCUCUUUCAUUUUUCUUGGUUGAUUUCCCUCAGCCAUUUCAUCAAUUUCCUCACUCGCUUCUUCACCCCUUCAUUUGCUUCUUUGGAUUUCCUUCAUCUUUUCCCAUGAAUAGCUCCACUCACCGAAACCCCAAGCUCCCACGCCGUCCACCAAUUUUUGUUCCCCACCGAAGAACCCCACUCAGGAGGUCAACACAGCAAAGCUCCCAGGCGAUUUGUUGACCCCUUGAAGCCACGUCCACCGACAAUCUUCAAGCAGCCGCGUCCAAUGAAGCUGCAGCUGCCACUGAAGACUCUUCAUCCGCGCCUCUUCUUCUUCAGCCGCGCGAGGCCUUCCACUGAAGAAGACUCACGUCUAUGGACUUAAGCGAAUUGAAGACCCCAGCGAAGCCACGUUGCGUCUUCUUCCCACGUCCAUCGACGCCAACAGCUGCUCCCCAUCUCUGCCAUGUUGCGGUCAAUUUCACCGGUCAAUUGAUCGCAUACUCCCACGACCAGCUGCUUCGAAGAUUUCUACGAAGCUGCUCCUUCGUCCCUAGCUUCUCCAGCAGCUCAUGCAAAUCCAACCACGGUCGAAGUUGCUUCUCCGGUCACCUCUCCAAGCCGUGAGAAGUCCAGCAUCACGUCUUCGGUCCAGCUCGCAAGAAGUCAGUCCAUCGGGCCCUUGCUGUUUCUCUCGCCAGGCCCAAGCUGCAGUCCACGAGCCAACAAAUUCAGCCCGUGGAAUCCAAUUUUGGCCCAACAGCUUUCAGCCCAAGAGCCAAGCAGUCUUUGGUUUUUUUUUUCUCAGUCCAUUGAAGUUGCAUUUCGGCCCAAGCUCAGUCAGCCCAUCUCAAUUUGAAGCCCAGUUCAGUUUAGUUUCAAGCCCAGCAUCAGUUAUAUUUCAGUGAGGCCCAGCAAGUUCAGCCCAUCUUGGGCCCGUGAAGCAAGUCGGCCCAACUUCAGCCACCGUCGCGUCGCCAUCGCGAUUUUCGAUCUUCGCUUUGUGCAAGUGAGUUUUACUCACUAAUGCCUUCUUAGUUUGUUAAUUAUACUUAAAGGUUGAUUAGUGUUAAUUAAGUGUAAUUAGGUUGUUAGGUUAGAAUUGAUUAGUGAUUAUUAGUUAAUUGCCUUGUAUAUUAGUGGUGUGAUUAGUGUAAUUAGAUAGAAAAUUGCACGUAGUAUUUAUUGGAUGCUUCGUGGGAUUUUUCCCGUCCCUUAUCGGGUGUUAAUUAAGCGAUUCGAGCCUAGGUGGUAUUUUUUAGGAAUUUAAUAUUAAUUUUCGAAAUUAAUUAUUUAAUUAUUUAUUUCCCGGAAAUUCAACUGGGAUGGCCAGUGACCGGGAUUUUAUGCUGAUGAUCAUGGCGCAGUCCGUUUAUUUAAUUGAGCUUUAUAUUGUGCUAAAUUGAAUUUAUUGUAUUUAUUUAUUUAAUGUUCGAAAUUAAUUAUUUAAUUAUUUAUUUUCCGGAAAUUCAACUGGGAUGGCCAGUGACCGGAAUUUCGUGCUGAUUGUCAUGGAGCAGUCCAUUUAUUUAUUUGAGCUUUAAUUCGUGUCGAAUUGAUUUAAUUGUGCAUUUUUAAGUAUGUUAUUGAAUAAUGCAAUUUUGGUCUUGUGAUUGAGAAUUGGUCGGAUAUCGGUUGUUAGUAUCGAAAGUGAGUUGGUAAAUCAUCUUGAGGAUGCAAGUGGCCCAGUGAAUUGGAAUAUCACUUGGGAAAGACACGUGGCUCGGUGAUUUGAUAUGUCAUCUUGGCGAAAAGGUAGCCUUGGAGAAUGCACGUGGCUCGGUGACAUAGUAUGGCAUCUUGAGAGGGUCGGGUGGGACCGUAAAGCCACUAGUUCUCGAGAGGGUCGGGUGGGACCGUAAAGCCACUAGUUCUCGAGAGGGUCGGGUGGGACCGUAAAGCCACUAAAUCUAAGGAAUUGCUUGGUAUGGAAUGAAUGACCUAGAAAUGAUUCGACUAGGUCGAUUGAUCGAUGAUUCGAUCUGAGAGUGUCUUGAUGUGAUUCGUUGCCUUGAUUUGAUGUUGUGAAUUGAAUGAUUGAAGGGAGAUGAUCGUAAGUGGUCUUCCUGAUGUGAAAUCGACUAAGUCGAUUAGAUCGAUGCUUCGAUCUGUGAUGUGCUUGCUUGUGUGCCUAUUUAAUCUGUACUAAUAUGCAGGUGGAAUCUGAGGCUAAGGUAAGUCUUCUAAUUCAUGUUGUGCAUAGGCAGCCCUAAGAUGUAUUAGUUUACUAAUCGGGUCUUAGGGAGUAGAACUUGCUGAGACGUGGUCUCAGUGGUUAUUGAAUAACCAUUUCAGGACCUGAAUGAGGAGCCUAAGGAGCAUGAAUCUGAUGAGGAGAUCCCUGUUGAGGAACCCAAAGAUGAGUACGUGGAGGAGGACCCCGAGUAUGACAUCGAGUACGACCCGGAUGAGGACUGAGAUCCCGUCCAGUCUUGUUAGACCUUGUUUGCAUGUAAAAAGUUGUAGUUGUGAAUUUUCAGUAAGAAAAAUGUAUGGCCUGCUUUUCUAUCCCAUUGCUUUAUUGUCUGGGGAAUUAUAACUGCUUCCGCAUGUGCAUAUAUAAAUGAAAGGGUCGGCGAUACAUAGUCCUGGGAUAUCGCAUUUUUAAAUCGAC
rnacentral:lncRNA from 1 species